GCAAGCUGAACUAAAGAAUGGCGGGGAGCACCACAACGGGUGGAGCUGCGGUUUAAUGGGCUCAACGCCGGGCAGCUCACCGGAUAGGACAGCGGAAUGAUAGCCGGGCUGAAGACCUUGCUUGACUAGCUGAGAGGAGGUGCAUGGCCGUCGUCAGUUCGUACUGUGAAGCAUCCUGUUUAGUCAGGCAACGAGCGAGACCCACGCCAACAGUUGCUAGCAUGUUCUCCGGAAUGAUGAGGACACUGUUGGGACCGCCUCUGCUAAAGGUGGGGGUGAAAAAUGGGCAACGGUAGGUCAGCAUGCCCCGAAUUAUCCGGGCUACACGCGGGCUACAAUGGUCAGGACAAUGGGAAACGGCACUGAAAAGUGUAGUCAAUCUCCUAAACCUGUCCCAAGUUCGGAUUGUGGGCUGCAACUCGCCCACAUGAAGCUGGAAUCCGUAGUAAUCGCGUUUCAAAAUAGCGCGGUGAAUAAGUCCCUG
rnacentral:rRNA from 1 species